rnacentral:rRNA from 1 species
CCAAUAGCGUAUAUUAAAGUUGUUGCAGUUAAAAAGCUCGUAGUUGAAUUUCGGGGUUAGUAGGUUGGUCAUGCCUCUGGUAUGUACUGGUCUCACUGAUUCCUCCUUCCUGAUGAACUGUAAUGCCAUUAAUUUGGUGUUGCGGGGAAUCUGGACUGUUACUUUGAAAAAAUUAGAGUGUUUAAAGCAAGCUAACGCUUGAAUACAUUAGCAUGGAAUAAUGAAAUAGGACGUUCGAUCCUAUUUUGUUGGUUUCUAGGAUUGACGUAAUGAUUAAUAGGGAUAGUUGGGGGCAUUAGUAUUCAAUUGUCAGAGGUGAAAUUCUUGGAUUUAUUGAAGACUAACUACUGCGAAAGCAUUUGCCAAGGAUGUUUUCAUUAAUCAAGAACGAAAGUUAGGGGAUCGAAGACGAUCAGAUACCGUCGUAGUCUUAACCAUAAACUAUGCCGACUAGGGAUCGGAUGAUGUUAAUUUUUUAAUGACUCAUUCGGCGCCUUACG